AGUACUCGCGAUACCCCGAAACGAAUGACAUCUCGUUGCCAGCGAUGACCCUGGAUCCAGAGAUGGCCAAUAUUCUUAUUUAGCAUUUUUCUUUCGAAGCGCGGCACCGUCGCGGAAGAUGUUCGCUGGGAAACCUUGAAAGUCGUGAAAGAUUUCCAUAUGUAAAUCGUCGGGGCCGCGAAGGGGAGGAAGGAAAAGUUGGGGAACGUAGAAAAAUUCAAGCGCAGAAGCCACGAGACAAGACGAAACGAGACCAGAGUAGUCGAGGGCCAAUGCCAAAUCCCCGACACGGUUGACAACCCCGUCCAAACGGAACACGAAGACGAAGACGAUGAGAAAGAAAAAGGAAGGGAGAACACGAGAGGAAAGCUUUAAGCUGCGUUCACCCUGAAAUCGAAAAUAGGAAAACCUAUGCAGUUCACUCGAGGCAUGAAAAAUUGAAUCUCUAGGGGUUUAUACACCAGUUAAUACAUUAAGUGUUUGGACAAAAAAUCAUCCGCCAUGAAAAGUAGGCCGCGGAGCAUAGCAAGAAAAAAAUUUAUACGGUCGAUGGAAU